AGCGAACGCUGGCGGCAGGCCUAACCCAUGCAAGUCGAACGAACCUUUCGGGGUUAGUGGCGGACGGGUGAGUAACACGUGGGAACGUGCCUUUAGGUUCGGAAUAACCCAGGGAAACUUGUGCUAAUACCGAAUGUGCCCUUCGGGGGAAAGAUUAAUCGCCUUUAGAUCGGCCCGCGUCUGUUUAGCUAGUUGGUUGAGGUAAUGGCUCACCAAGGCGACGAUCAGUAGCUGGCCUGAGAGGAUGAUCAGCCACAUUGGGACUGAGACACGGCCCAAACUCCGACGGGAGGCAGCAGUGGGGAAUAUUGCGCAAUGAGCGAAAGCCUGACGCAGCCAUGCCGCGUGAAUGAUGAAGGUCUUAGGAUUGUAAAAUUCUUUCAGCGGGGACGAUAAUGACGGUACCCGGAGAAGAAGCCCCGGCUAACUUCGUG
rnacentral:rRNA from 1 species